AUUGGGAGUCAGACUGCACGAGAUAAGUUGGGUAGUCAAAAGGGAAAGAGCCCAGACCGCCAGCUAAGGUCCCAAAGUGUGUGUUAAGUGGAAAAGGAUGUGGGAUUUCGAAGACAACUAGGAUGUUGGCUCAGAAGCAGCCAUUCAUUCAAAGAGUGCGUAAUAGCUCACUAGUCGAGAGGUCCUGCGCCGAAAAUGUCCGGGGCUAAACACUACACCGAAGCUGAGGAAUGACAAUGUCAUUGGUAGAGGAGCAUUCUUAACUGCGACGAAGCUGUACCGAAAGGAGCAGUGGAGUGUUAAGAAGAGAGAAUGCCGGAAUGAGUAGCGAGAGUGAGGUGAGAAUCCUCACGGCCGAAUAUCUAAGGUUUCCAGGGUAAAGCUGAUCUGCCCUGGGUAAGUCGGGACCUAAGGCGAGGUCGAAAGACGUAGUCGAUGGACAACAGGUUGAAAUUCCUGUACUGCAAUGUAUCAGAAAUGUGGGGACACAGACAGAGAGCCGGAGCCGGGAAUGGAGAAACCGGUGCAAGCGAGGUAGGAGAACAGCAGGCAAAUCCGCUGUUCAAUCUGAAGACGUGACGCGGAGCGAAAUUAAAGUAGCGAAGCCGGUGAGCUGGCUGUCAGGAAAAGCCGCUAUUGUGUACAUUGUACCCGUACCGUAAACCGACACAGGUGGAUGAGGAGAGAAUCCUAAGGCCGACGGAAGAAGCAUUGUUAAGGAACUCGGCAAAAUGACCCCGUAACUUCGGGAGAAGGGGUGCCCUGUGAAAGCAGGGCCGCAGUGAAAUGGCUCAAGCAACUGUUUAGCAAAAACACAGGUCUAUGCAAAACCGAAAGGUGAAGUAUAUGGGCUGACGCCUGCCCGGUGCUGGAAGGUUAAGAGGAGAGGUUAGCGCAAGCGAAGCUUUGAAUUUAAGCCCCAGUAAACGGCGGCCGUAACUAUAACGGUCCUAAGGUAGCGAAAUUCCUUGUCGGGUAAGUUCCGACCCGCACGAAAGGCGUAAUGAUUUGAGCACUGUCUCGACAAUGCAUCCGGUGAAAUUGAAGUACCAGUGAAGAUGCUGGUUACCCGCGCCAGGACGGAAAGACCCCAUGGAGCUUUACUCCAGUUUGGUACUGGGAUUCGGUACUGCACGUACAGGAUAGGUGGGAGACUAAGAAACUUGAACGCCAGUUUGAGUGGAGUCGCUGUUGGGAUACCACCCCUGCAGUAUUGGGUUUCUAACCAGUCACCGUGAUCCGGUGAUGGGACAAUGCCAGGCGGGGAGUUUGACUGUGACGGCAGCCUCCGACUUUACGAUUGAAGAUGGUGUGCUGACCGCUUAUAACGGAGACGCGACGGAGAUUGUAAUUCCGGCCGGCGUGACUGCAAUCGGAACCGGCACCGGAGCAGUUUUCGGCAAUAAAGUGGAGUCUGUUACGAUUCCGACCUCUGUUACCACGAUCGCUGCGCAGACCUUUUAUUCCUGCACAGGGCUAAAGCAUGUGACUUUUGCUGAAGACAGUCGGUUGAAGACCAUUGGAAAUGAGGCGUUUUACGCCGCAAAUCAGUUGGAGAGCCUGACUAUUCCGGAGGGCGUUACCUCCAUUGGACAGUACGCCUUUGCGGCCAUGAACAAGCUGCAGACCAUUACACUGCCCGGCACCUUGACGACGGUUUGCGGCGGGGAGUGGUUCGGCAAUUUGUUCGCCCGUGGAACAAGCGGCGGAGCACCGGCAGCGCUGGCUUCCGUCAAUAUCACGGAAGGCGGCAAACAGUACCUCUCCCAUGACGGCGCAGUGUAUUCCGCCGACGGGAAAACGAUCAUUUACUGCCCGGCUGCCAAGCAGUCCAUUGACUGGCUGGA
rnacentral:rRNA from 1 species